rnacentral:rRNA from 1 species
GACGUAGGGGGCCAGCGUUGUUCGGAGUUACUGGGCGUAAAGAGUGCGUAGGCGGUUUUCUAAGUUUGGUGUGAAAUCUCCCGGCUCAACUGGGGAGGGUGCGCCGAAGACUGGAAGGCUUGAGUAUGGGAGAGGUAAGCGGAAUUCCUGGUGUAGCGGUGAAAUGCGUAGAUAUCAGGAGGAACACCUGCGGUGUAGACGGCUUACUGGACCAUAACUGACGCUGAGGCACGAAAGCGUGGGUAGCAAACAGG